GACGAACGCUGGCGGCGUGCUUAACACAUGCAAGUCGAACGGAAAGGCCCUGCUUGCAGGGUACUCGAGUGGCGAACGGGUGAGUAACACGUGGGUGAUCUGCCCUGCACUUCGGGAUAAGCUUGGGAAACUGGGUCUAAUACCGGAUAGGAGCCAUCUUUAGUGUGGUGGUUGGAAAGUUUUUUCGGUGUAGGAUGAGCUCGCGGCCUAUCAGCUUGUUGGUGGGGUAAUGGCCUACCAAGGCGGCGACGGGUAGCCGGCCUGAGAGGGUGUACGGCCACAUUGGGACUGAGAUACGGCCCAGACUCCGACGGGAGGCAGCAGUGGGGAAUAUUGCACAAUGGGCGCAAGCCUGAUGCAGCGACGCCGCGUGGGGGAUGAAGGCCUUCGGGUUGUAAACUCCUUUCGCUAGGGACGAAGCUUUGUUGUGACGGUACCUAGAGAAGAAGCACCGGCUAACUACGUG
rnacentral:rRNA from 1 species